rnacentral:misc_RNA from 1 species
GAUGAAGAACGCAGCGAAAUGCGAUAAGUAGUGUGAUUUGCAGAAUUCAGUGAAUCAUCGAAUCUUUGAACGCACAUUGCGCCCCUUGGUAUUCCAUGGGGCAUGCCUGUUCGAGCGUCAUUUGUACCUUCAAGCUCUGCUUGGUGUUGGGUGUUUGUCUCGCCUCUGCGUGUAGACUCGCCUCAAAACAAUUGGCAGCCGGCGUAUUGAUUUCGGAGCGCAGUACAUCUCGCGCUUUGCACUCAUAACGACGACGUCCAAAAGUACAUUUUUACACUCUUGACCUCGGAUCAGGUAGGGAUACCCGCUGAACUUAAGCAUAUCAAUAAGCGGAGGA